rnacentral:rRNA from 1 species
AUGGAAGUGGCUGCAGUAGAGGAGAGCGAUGGAGGAACCAGUGCUGCACCAGCGGAACUACCCAAGCGUGAGGGUGCAGUGGUCGCUGAAACUGAUCAUACGUCAGCAGAGCAGCCAUGCAAGCAUUUCUCCAUAUGCGGGUAUGUUUCUCAGAAGAUGGAUGCAAAAUUCUGCUCUCUAUCUCAGAGUUUCAGUGCUCAGCAACAAUUGGAUGAACGCCAUAACAGUUUGCACCCAUUCUCGGUGGCAAAGUUUCGACGAUGGGAUUGCUCUGUGUGCUUGGAUGAGGUGAAAAUCUUAGAUGACAGAACAACAUCUAGAGCAGUUUUUACGGCGAAGAAUGUCUCAGGGGAUGGUUGCUCUAUUAGAUUUGUUCAGAGCACUUUAGUGCCUACUAGCGUUGAUUUUAGAAGCUUAUUUCCUUGCACACAACUGUUAGCUCAAGAGAAGAAUCCUGAUAGAUCAGCACUUCUGAAGAGUAACAUCGAAAACAAUUCCAAAUGCAACUCACCUUAUGAGGCGAAAACUGAUCCACCCAUGAAAGAUUUACAGGGGCUGUCAACUAACCAAGUUACAAUCGCAAAUAUCUCAGAUAAUGCUUGUGUGGAUAUCAUGGCUUUACCUGAAGAUUCCCAGAUUAGAGUAAGCAGAGAAGGAAAUGCCAUUGCAAUCCCAUCCAGUUCAAAACUUAGUGAAGCAAGUAUGAAGCUUGAUUCAGAAGAAAAUGGGAAAAACAAGGAGGUACCGAGUGCUGACCACACUAUUCCUAAAGUUGCUAAACCAAUAUCUGGGCAGAAAGGUGAUCAGGUCAGUAACAGUGGUCCAUGUGAAGAAGCAGCUCCAAAAAGAAGUAUUGGAUCUACAUAUAAGAAGAAGAAAGGGAAACAUACUGCGCAGGUUGGCAGUUCAGAUGUAAAAGUCAGUCGGAGAAAGCAAAUAAAGCUUCGACUGCUAUCAGAAAUCAUCAAUACUGAUCCGGUUGGGGGUUCUAGAAGUGAUGUUGAAGUUAAUGGCGAAAAGGUUGCUGAUCUCUGCGAGGAUGAUAGAAGUACGGAUGAUGUUCCUUCUGUUGACCACCAGGGAGUGGGAGAAAUCUUGUCAAAAACUACGAAGAACGUGGCAAAAGACAAAGGAGUUGAUGUUGAAGAUGAUGAAUCUUCACUUAUGAACUGGAUGAAGAGAAUACCGAAGAGAUUAAGAACUGAGAAGAAAGAUUCAGAACACAAGGAUUGUGAUUCUUCUGCUUCAAAAUCUACUGCAGAUGUAUUUGCCUCUAAGGAUACUCAAGAUUUUCUAUCCUCAGGUUGGAAAUUGAGCAAGAAAAAUACCCUACCUACUACCAGUAUGCAGCAAGGUGAUGAGAAUAUCCAGAAUGAUAAUCUGGAGAGAAAUACACAGAGCACAGAUGACAUGAGGCGAAUGGAAGCUGAGAACUCCACAGAGAGGUUCUUAUCAAAUGUAAAAACCAUUAGUUUGAGUAAGAGGAAAAUGCCUCCAACUGCCAGUAUCCAGCAUGAUGGUGUUGUUCCUGUUAGCCGACAGAUGUUGAGAGAAAUAUCGUCAAAAACUGCUAAGAAGAAGGCAAAAUACAAAGGAGUUGAUGCUGUUGAUGAUGAGGGGUCUUCGCUUAUGGAUUGGAUGAAAAGAAUUCCGAAGAAAUUAAGAACCGAGAAAAAGGACGCGGAAUACAAGGAUAAUGAUUCUUCUGCUGCUAAUUCAAAAUAUAAUGCUGUUGAUAAAGUUGCUUUGAAAGAUGUUCAAGAUGAUUUUAUAUCCUCAGCUCAGGAGUUGAGCAAGAGAAAAAUACCACCUACUGCCAGCACUAGGGAAGAUGAUGAAAAUAUUCAGAACGAUAAUCUGGAGAUAGAUACGCAGAACAUAAAUGGCAUGUGUGAAACUGAAUCCGAUAAUUGUAGGCAGAGGUCCUUGUCAAAGGUAAAAAAGAUGAGUUUGUGUAAGAGCAAAAUUCCUUCAACUGUCAACGCGGAACAUGAUGAUGUCAACACUAAAGAGACGGCUGUACUCAGGACAGAUGAUCAAUGCCAAAUGGUACCCAGAAAGUCUGUGCAGCGGCGCCUGAAGAAGGUUUCUCCAGGUAAGCAUGUUAUCCGGAACGUGACUGCCUUUGAGCAGAAACUACCUAAGAAGAGAAAUAAAAAAAAGCAAGAAGUGAUGGACGAAAAAAAUGCCAUGACAGAUGACAUUCCAAUGGAUAUUGUUGAAUUGCUUGCGAGAUGUCAGGAUAAGAGACCACUGAUAACAGAGACCGAUUCUGCUGAUAUUAGUCGUACUCAAUCCAAGAUAAUGGAAGAUGAAGAUUGUAGUAUAAUAGCUGCCGAGGAUGGUCCAAAUUAUGUGUCAAGUGUGAUUGACACCACUUCACAGCAGAAGCGGCCUUUGGAACCAGAUAGUUACCAGAAUGCAUUGCAGAAUCGUGUAGCAGCCACCACCCAGGCUACCCAUACGCAUGCUCUCAAAUUACAGACUCCUGGUCAUGUAAUGUCUACCCAGGAACCACAGGCACAUUCGGGCAUGGGAGAAUUAGUCACUAUUGCUGCAACCUCACCACUAUUAUCACCAGACAAGGACCAGCCUCUUGCUGAAGCAACACCUGAGCGCUGGAGCCAUAUGGGAGCAAAGAAGUCGAUGUGGGAACCUUUCAAGGCACUUCCAAGGGAUUUAUCAACCACAACAGGUUGUGCUCAGUUCAGACCUAGCAUUGACACGGUUGAUUUAACUUAUACUGAUGUGGCGGGAGCUAAUCGUUAUUAUCCCACUCGCCAGCCAGUAAUUUCGACACUUGACCACUAUACAAAUAGAGCAGUUAACUCAGUCCAGGCAAGAAAUUUUCCAAGUUCAGUGUCAACCAUGGAAGCUGGUAAUCUGUUUGAUGGAAGAAAUGUUGGACAUUCAGGUUUUUAUCCAAGAGAAACCAUGCCUGCUACUCAUCCCCUGAGAUUGACCGAGUCACCAAUGUUAGCCAGUUUCAACUAUGAAGGGUCUAGCAGGAACCAGAUGGAAUUUCAACUUCGGAAUUCACACUAUGCACAGGAUCAGUCCAUUGGAUCAGCCAGCACACCGUAUGGAGCACACAAUCAGUACAUAGGAUCAGCUAGCACAUUGUGCGAAGCACACAAUCAUUACAUAGGAUCAACUAGUUCAUUGUGUGGGGCACACAAUCAGUACAUUGGAUCAGCUAGCACACCGUAUGGAAGUAACCUAAAUGGCAUGGGAUCAGCUAGCACACAGUAUGGAAGUAACCUAAAUGGCAUGGGAUCAGCUAGCACAUCCUACGGAAGUAACCUAAAUGGAAGGGUUCCAUUAACACUAGAGGAUUUAUCACGUCAUCCGCUCCAGCCAAAUUUGCACAGACCGUUACGUCCACUUCCUAGAGUUGGUGUGCUCAGUUCCUUGCUGCAGAAGGAAAUUGCAGACUGGUCGGAGAGCUGUGGGACACAGUCAGGUUACAAAAUAGGGGUGUCCAAAGGGAUAACAUUGAUUGAUAUAAACAAAAGGGGGAAUGUUGAGGCAUUGAACUCAGGGAUGUAUUCAGCAGCAUGGAAUGCGCGGCGGUUGAGUUCUGUUAGUUCCAGUCCAGGAUUUUCUUCAGUGAGGAAUGGUACUGCUCAGUCUUGGACCAGAGAUCAAGGGAGAAUGACCAAUCCCAAUCCCUUGGAUAGGUUGGUAAGACAGGAUAUCUGUGUGACCAACAGAAAUCCAUGUGAUUUUACUACAAUUAGUGAUGACAAUGAGUAUAUGAGGGCGGACAUUUGA